AGGAACAGAAGAUAAGAGAAGGUCUUUAUAUGACGGGGCUGGAAGAUGGGAUACUCCAUCUCUCAUGGUUUAUUGCAUAUAAUUUGCAGGAUAACUAUUGUUGCUUGGCUCUAGUAUGUGCACUGUUGAACAAUGAUUGAGUCUCAGCAUUGAUCAACUUGCAAGAAA